rnacentral:rRNA from 1 species
GGGUAGAGCACUGUUUCGGCAAGGGGGUCAUCCCGACUUACCAACCCGAUGCAAACUGCGAAUACCGGAGAAUGUUAUCACGGGAGACACACGGCGGGUGCUAACGUCCGUCGUGAAGAGGGAAACAACCCAGACCGCCAGCUAAGGUCCCAAAGUCAUGGUUAAGUGGGAAACGAUGUGGGAAGGCCCAGACAGCCAGGAUGUUGGCUUAGAAGCAGCCAUCAUUUAAAGAAAGCGUAAUAGCUCACUGGUCGAGUCGGCCUGCGCGGAAGAUGUAACGGGGCUAAACCAUGCACCGAAGCUGCGGCAGCGACGCUUAUGCGUUGUUGGGUAGGGGAGCGUUCUGUAAGCCUGUGAAGGUGUGCUGUGAGGCAUGCUGGAGGUAUCAGAAGUGCGAAUGCUGACAUAAGUAACGAUAAAGCGGGUGAAAAGCCCGCUCGCCGGAAGACCAAGGGUUCCUGUCCAACGUUAAUCGGGGCAGGGUGAGUCGACCCCUAAGGCGAGGCCGAAAGGCGUAGUCGAUGGGAAACAGGUUAAUAUUCCUGUACUUGGUGUUACUGCGAAGGGGGGACGGAGAAGGCUAUGUUGGCCGGGCGACGGUUGUCCCGGUUUAAGCGUGUAGGCUGGUUUUCCAGGCAAAUCCGGAAAAUCAAGGCUGAGGCGUGAUGACGAGGCACUACGGUGCUGAAGCAACAAAUGCCCUGCUUCCAGGAAAAGCCUCUAAGCAUCAGGUAACAUCAAAUCGUACCCCAAACCGACACAGGUGGUCAGGUAGAGAAUACCAAGGCGCUUGAGAGAACUCGGGUGAAGGAACUAGGCAAAAUGGUGCCGUAACUUCGGGAGAAGGCACGCUGAUAUGUAGGUGAAGCGACUUGCUCGUGGAGCUGAAAUCAGUCGAAGAUACCAGCUGGCUGCAACUGUUUAUUAAAAACACAGCACUGUGCAAACACGAAAGUGGACGUAUACGGUGUGACGCCUGCCCGGUGC